UUCCCUUCCCAACACAAGCAGCUGAAGAUUGUGUCAGGCUCAUCCAAUCUCACAUCUGCAGUCCUGGGGACACCACUGCUGAGUCUGACCUUCAAAUCUCUCGAAGGAGGCACGUGGUGCAGAGGAGGGGAUGUGAGAGCUGCUCUGCCCCGGAUGGAUGGACUGUGUGAGGGUGCAUGAGGCAAGCCUUGACUCCAGAGUCUCUUCCCCAAGUGAUGAAGAGCAAACCUCGCUCUGGUUGGUCCCACAGCACUGCUGCUAACCACAGCAGCAGCAGCAGCUCUCCGCACUCCCACCACAUGCAGAACCCAGCACAGCUGGGAUGCUGCUCACCCAGGCAUUGUCCAGAGGGAGCGCCAUUCCCCCGGAGACCGUGGCAUGGAUUUUGUUGCAAAUAACUCAAUAAUGACACUGCAACUCCUUCUUUGCCCAGGACUCGCCUGCACACUGUGGCAGACUCCUGCUCAAGCGUUGGAGGGCCGGAAUCCCUGAUGGAGGUUCCAUGAAUGCCUUUGGGGUGGAGGACCUCAACACCACAGAGCUGUUCUGGAGGAGGAAGAGGAGGAGGAGGAGGAGGAGCUCAGUGCAGGGCCUCACAGCACGGUGCCAUCCAGGGGGGACAGGAGCUGGUCCUCCCCACCCACCCCAGCACUGCGAGCAUCGGGAGGCAUCAGCCUUCGUGCCACUUGUGUAAACUAUUACAGCAAAGGGCAGAGGUUAAACGCAGCACAUGUGUGGCAUCAAUUAACAGGAUUUCAAGGUCUCUGGUGGAGUUUCUGCUCAAAUCUCCUGUGGCAGGUUUGGUUUUCUUAACCCCUCGGAUGCCAUGCGGUUGGCAGCCUCGGCUCUGCGCUGCUCCCUGCUGCUGCGGGGGUCCCCCAGGGCCACGUUGGGAGCAGCCUCAGUCAAUUUAGGCACAAGGGGACAGCACACAGCCCAUGGGUCUGG
ensembl:lncRNA